AUACGUAGGGGGCGAGCGUUGUCCGGAAUGAUUGGGCGUAAAGGGCGCGUAGGCGGCCCGGUAAGUCUGGAGUGAAAGUCCUGUUUUUAAGAUGGGAAUUGCUUUGGAUACUGUCGGGCUUGAGUGCAGGUGAGGUAAGUGGAAUUCCCAGUGUAGCGGUGAAAUGCGUAGAGAUUGGGGGGAACACCAGUGGCGAAGGCGACUUACUGGACUGUAACUGACGCUGAGGCGCGAAAGUGUGGGGAGCAAACAGGAUUAGAUACCCUGGUAGUCCACACAGUAAACGAUGAAUGCUAGGUGUAGGGGGUAUCGACCCCUUCUGUGCCGCAGUCAACACAAUAAGCAUUCCGCCUGGGGAGUACGGCCGCAAGGUUGAAACUCAAAGGAAUUGACGGGG
rnacentral:rRNA from 1 species